rnacentral:rRNA from 1 species
UCGGGAAUUUUGGGCAAUGGGGGAAACCCUGACCCAGCAACGCCGCGUGAAGGAUGAAGUAUUUCGGUAUGUAAACUUCGAAAGAAUAGGAAGAAUAAAUGACAGUACUAUUUAUAAGGUCCGGCUAACUACGUGCCAGCAGCCGCGGUAAUACGUAGGGACCAAGCGUUGUUCGGAUUUACUGGGCGUAAAGGGCGCGUAGGCGGCAUGACAAGUCACUUGUGAAAUCUCUGGGCUUAACCCAGAACGGCCAAGUGAUACUGUCGCGCUAGAGUGCAGAAGGGGCAAUCGGAAUUCUUGGUGUAGCGGUGAAAUGCGUAGAUAUCAAGAGGAACACCUGAGGUGAAGACGGGUUGCUGGGCUGACACUGACGCUGAGGCGCGAAAGCCAGGGGAGCAAACGGGGAUUAGAUACCCAUGUAGUCCCUGAGCGGGCUGGCAAGGCGCAU